rnacentral:rRNA from 1 species
UAAUAGUGUAUAUUAAAGUUGUUGCAGUUAAAAAGCUCGUAGUUGAAUGUUGGUGUCGAACGAGCAGUCAGCUUCGGCUGUACUGCUCUCUCGACUCCUUCCUUCUGUGGACUACGUCGCACUUUACUGUGUGGCGCUAGGACGCAGAUCGUUUACUGUGAAAAAAUUAGAGUGUUCAAAGCAGGCCGUACGCUUGAAUACAUUAGCAUGGAAUAAUGGAAUAGGACGUCGGGCCUAUUUUGUUGGUUCUAGGACCGUCGUAAUGAUUAAUAGGGACAGUUGGGGCCGUUUAUAUUCCGUAGUCAGAGGUGAAAUUCUUGGAUUUACGGAAGAUAAACUACUGCGAAAGCAUUCGGCAAGGAUGUUUUCGUUAA